GGGGACUGAACAUCGUUCACCGAAUACACUUUGUGAUGACUGCAUUCCGUAACCAAAUUGUUGGUGGCAAUAUUGGUAUUAUGGGAUACACCAAGUUGAAGUAAUUAUGAUGGUACCUUUGAAGCUGAAAUUUUUGACAUGAGAUAGAAAUAUGAAAGCUUAAUCAGGCUAUAUAAACAUCCUGUAGUUCUGAAUUUCAGUUGGAGGCCUCAGUAUGAUUAACAGUAUGGUUAAUCUUUAAAAACACAUCUCUCCUACGUGCUCCAUUGAAAAGGCCUAGAGACAAGCUACCCAGGAGGAAGAAGCACCCCCUUGCGCUCACACUGUGAUCUCUACCAACCAUUUCCCAUUAAAAGAAACACUGACUCCAUAGAACAAUGGAUGAUCUUGGGUCUGGAGCAGGAAAUGUACAAGAUAAGCCUGCAACAUCUUACAUCAGGAAGCAGCAAAGCAAUCAAAAGGCUAUUAGGGUCAUAUCAAAAGGACUCAGGAUCCACCUUGAAAACCUUCCUACUGGCCAAAGAUAGGAUGAUUUAAAACAUAAAUAAAGGUAACUGUAAUUGGAUGAAGGACAGAUACAUUUAAGUAAUCAUAUCAGACACGACCAAUCAACCAAACAUGCAAGCCAAAAAGGUAUCGCUGUUCAUUUUUAAUGACAGAAGGAAACCAACUCUUAUUCUGAAAACUGGUAAACAAAGGGAAAGAAUCAGGAAUAUUUAUACUGUCUUUCCUGUAUGAAUUA
ensembl:lncRNA EOGT-DT EOGT divergent transcript